GACGAACGCUGGCGGCGUGCUUAACACAUGCAAGUCGAACGGAAAGGCCCUGCUUUUGUGGGGUGCUCGAGUGGCGAACGGGUGAGUAACACGUGAGUAACCUGCCCUUGACUUUGGGAUAACUUCAGGAAACUGGGGCUAAUACCGGAUAGGAGCUCCUGCUGCAUGGUGGGGGUUGGAAAGUUUCGGCGGUUGGGGAUGGACUCGCGGCUUAUCAGCUUGUUGGUGGGGUAGUGGCUUACCAAGGCUUUGACGGGUAGCCGGCCUGAGAGGGUGACCGGCCACAAUGGGACUGAGGUACGGCCCAGACUCCUACGGGAGGCAGCAGUGGGGAAUAUUGCACAAUGGGCGGAAGCCUGAUACAGCAACGCCGCGUUCGGGAUGACGGCCUUCGGGUUGUAAACCGCUUUCGCCUGUGACGAAGCGUGAGUGACGGUAAUGGGUAAAGAAGCACCGGCUAACUACGUG
rnacentral:rRNA from 1 species